rnacentral:rRNA from 1 species
GACGGAGGGGGCUAGCGUUGUUCGGAAUUACUGGGUGUAAAGGGCGCGUAGGCGGUCGCUUAAGUUAGGCGUUAAAGACCUGGGCUUAACCUGGGGGGUGCGCUUAAUACUGAGCGGCUAGAGGUCGGAAGAGGAAAGUGGAAUUCCUAGUGUAGAGGUAAAAUUCGUAGAUAUUAGGAGGAACACCAGUGGCGAAGGCGGCUUUCUGGUCCGAAACUGACGCUGAGGCGCGAAAGCGUGGGGAUCAAACAGG